rnacentral:rRNA from 1 species
AGACCAAAGUGGGGGACCUGAAAGGGCCUCACGCCGUCGGAUGAACCCAGAUGGGAUUAGCUGGUAGGUAGGGUAAUGGCCUACCUAGGCGACGAUCCCUAGCUGGUCUGAGAGGAUGACCAGCCACACUGGGACUGAGACACGGCCCAGACUCCUACGGGAGGCAGCAGUGGGGAAUAUUGCACAAUGGGCGCAAGCCUGAUGCAGCCAUGCCGCGUGUAUGAAGAAGGCCUUCGGGUUGUAAAGUACUUUCAGCGGGGAGGAAGGGUUGAGCCUGAACAGGGCUGGRCCUUGACGUUACCCGCAGAAGAAGCACCGGCUAACUCCGUGCCAGCAGCCGCGGUAAUACGGAGGGUGCGAGCGUUAAUCGGAAUGACUGGGCGUAAAGCGCACGCAGGCGGUCAAUUAAGUUAGAUGUGAAAUCCCCGGGCUCAACCUGGGAACGGCAUCUAAGACUGGUUGACUGGAGUCUCGUAGAGGGGGGUAGAAUUCCAUGUGUAGCGGUGAAAUGCGUAGAGAUGUGGAGGAAUACCGGUGGCGAAGGCGGCCCCCUGGACGAAGACUGACGCUCAGGUGCGAAAGCGUGGGGAGCAAACAGGAUUAGAUACCCUGGUAGUCCACGCUGUAAACGAUGUCGAUUUGGAGGUUGCGGCCCUGAGCUGUGGCUUCCGAAGCUAACGCGUUAAAUCGACCGCCUGGGGAGUACGGCCGCAAGGUUAAAACUCAAAUGAAUUGACGGGGGCCCGCACAAGCGGUGGAGCAUGUGGUUUAAUUCGAUGCAACGCGAAGAACCUUACCUACUCUUGACAUCCUCAGAAUUUGCUGGAGACAGCGAAGUGCCUUCGGGAACUGAGAGACAGGUGCUGCAUGGCUGUCGUCAGCUCGUGUUGUGAAAUGUUGGGUUAAGUCCCGCAACGAGCGCAACCCUUAUCCUUUGUUGCCAGCACGUCGAGGUGGGAACUCAAAGGAGACUGCCGGUGAUAAACCGGAGGAAGGUGGGGAUGACGUCAAGUCAUCAUGGCCCUUACGAGUAGGGCUACACACGUGCUACAAUGGCGGAUACAAAGUGAAGCGACCUCGCGAGAGCAAGCGGAACACACAAAGUCUGUCGUAGUCCGGAUUGGAGUCUGCAAC